UACAGGGGGUGCAAGCGUUGCUCGGAAUCACUGGGCGUAAAGCGUACGCAGGCGGUCCGUUAAGUCGGGUGUGAAAUCCCGGGGCUCAACCCCGGAAUUGCAUUCGAAACUGGCGGACUUGAAUACGGGAGAGGUGAGUGGAAUUCCUGGUGUAGAGGUGAAAUUCGUAGAUAUCAGGAGGAACACCGGUGGCGAAAGCGGCUCACUGGCCCGAUAUUGACGCUCAUGUACGAAAGCGUGGGGAGCAAACAGG
rnacentral:rRNA from 1 species